GCAGGGGCACAGGUGAUGGCAAUUUCACCUGAGUGACCGGAAGGGGUGGACCCUGGCUGCAGCCCUGCUAGACCCCAUGUAAGGGCUGACUCCCAAGGAGGAAGGAUCUCUAUCUGGAGGUCACCCUUAGUGGAGCCCUUCUGCGCGCCCAGGUGAUUUGGCUUUGCCUUCCUUGGCUUUUUGGAACUUGGGAAAAGGUACCGAGGUGCAUGGAUAUGGAGAAGAGAAGCUCUCCUGCUGUGGCUGAGAGGUGAUCCAAAGGAGGCCUCCCGAGCAAGCACCGCAAAGGCAGCUUGCUUCUCCAGAGGCUGCAGCAUAAGCUCGUGUUCCUUGUGGAGGACUGCGUUGUGCAUCUGCAGGAGCUGCUUUGGCAUGGAGGAUUUUGUGGAGUUGCUGCCAGUCGUUGCUCGGAUGAAGUGAGGCUUUUGUCCUUGUAUCUGUGCAGGAAAGCAGUGCGGAGGGAACGUGUGUGGUGAGAUGCUGAGGAGAGAUUGCCUCCCUUGCCCCAGCAGGCUGCUUGUGUCCUGGUGAUGCACGGUGACGAGAAGGCUGCUGUUCUGUGAGUAAGCCUGCCACGUGGGAGUAAUGGUUGUGGCCUUUUGGGCAAGUCUCUGAGGAGAGGUCUUUGGGCAGGCUGGUUGUUUUGCUGGGCAAGUGCCAUUUGAGUUGUUUGUUGCCAUGCUUGGUUGGUGCUUGUUUGAGAAAUAGUGGUCCUCUUGACGAGCAGUGCUCUGGCAGCAGGGGAGUGAGAAAUGUCAUGUCCACCCAGUCUUCUCCACGAGCCUUACGCUGCCUUUCCCCAUUGUCUGUAAAUGGCUGUAGAAAUGGCAGGGGGAGAAGUAGGGAAGAGGGUUUCUGUGCAUCUCUUAGCAGGUGUCAGCUCCUAAGAGCUGGGAGCCCUGCAGAGCGUCCUGGCUUUGUUUUGCUUCCUUGUUGGAGCUGUUGGGAUGCUUUUGUGGGUGCUUUGUGCGUUUGAAGUCCCUGUGAACUCUGCUGAGACCAGUGGUGUCCUAGGGAGAGCCCCGCUGCCCCCUUUUUGUUGGGGCUGUUUUCUUCCCUCUGGAGGUUGAAAGGGCCUUCAGAAACCCAGCAGUACGACUUGCUGCUGCUCCAGCCUGUCAAGUGGAGAUGAUGAAGUGUGACGGCCAUUGGGGCAGGGAGGAAAGCAGCUAAGAAAUGGUGUUCCCGUAGACUGUGUGGAGCUUGUUGUUGUGAAACGGUCCCUUGUGCUGCCAGAAUCUCUCUGCCUUUCAGUCAUGGCCUCUUCCUCCUGGCUUUCAAGAUGUUCAGAGGCAUUGCUAAGAAAGAGCGAGCAGAGCUCUUCCUAGGCCGUGGCAGAGUUCACCUUUCCAGGUGUAUGCCAGAGCAUGAAGCAUGGUCAACAAGCACGGGGUAGCAGCAGCUGGAAACAGGGGAAGCUUCCACAGAGCCCCCCGCUGGAGUCCCAGGGUGAUGAGCUGAAGCUGAUUUGGGCAGCAUGAAACCCGGUGGUUUUCCGGGAUCUGUGCCGUAUAGGGCUCAGGGCUGUCACUGGGGUUGCUUUCACAGGACGCCCCCCAGCCCAGCUCAGGACCCACGGUGAGUCUGUGGGUGACAAAUGUGUCACUGAGAGACAGCAUCAGGGUGGGAAUGCAUGGACCAUAGCGCCCAGGGCAGAGCCAAGCGGUGCUGUGGUUGGGGGGGGGGUCAGCCCCAGGGAGAAAGUCUCCCCCACGGAAGAAAUGGAUUGCUUAGCUCCCCACUAAGCUCCCAUUGCCUCCCAGUAUUGUCUAGAGUCUUCUUGUGCAAACUCAGUGCCCCCCAGUGCUGCCUGCGGCCCUCAAUAGCCUCCCAGUGCCCUGCAGUGGGCUUCCCAGUGCCUCCAGUACUGCCCAGUGCCCCCAGCUCAACACACCCACUGCUCGGUCCGUGACCAUCUCCUUCCCCAGGAACAGCACAAGGCAACAGAGACGUUGACAGCAGCGAUGGUGAUGGAGAUGUUGAGAGUGGAGGAGCUCUUGGCUCGCUGCAGCCACCCCAGCAUUCCCGGAGGUGGGCACGGGGGAGCCUGGGGGGGGGCUUUGGUGCUGCACAAACGACUGCAGGCAGAGGUUUGGCGUUCACUUUCCUACACGUUUAAUAAUUUAACGUACAAAACAGCAAAUAAAUGAUGAUAUUCCCAA